rnacentral:lncRNA from 1 species
UAUGAGACGGCUCAAACAAUAAUCUUUGCCCUUUAUAUGUUAAACUAGAUUAGUUUAACAUUUGAAAUGUCUGUAAAGUAUCAUCAUAUGAUUGGUUUUAGGGCACAUUUCCAACAAAACAUGGUUUCGAAUUCCCCCUAGCCAAAGGGGGGUUUAGUUCCUCAUACUUACAAAACAAAGAGUAUUGAAUUUAAACAUUGAAAACAAGGGAAAGAAAACACCUAAAACGUUCCAGCAAUCCUAACUUGAAUGGCAUGCACGUCCAAGGCUUCUCCU